GAAAAAUGAUGCUACUUGCCCUUGGAGUGGAGGAGAACUGCGCUUCUGUGCAUUUCUAUCUUUAUCUGGAUGAAAUUCAGGAUCUAAGGAGUGACACUGUUACAGUGAUCACAUGCAACAGUUUUAAAUGCCUACAGACAGUACCCUCUGCCCUUGCAGCUGGAAUUGCUCUCUGAAGAAGGAUUUGAACAGACUUUGUCCAUUCAAUACCACUUACAAAACUUCUGAUAUCAAAAGGACAUGUCAGUUUGCUGCCUCUGAUUUAUUUUCCAGCACCAUUCAGUCUGCAUGGGUAGAAUAAUUAUGAAAGGUG